rnacentral:rRNA from 1 species
UGGGGAAUAUUGCACAAUGGGCGCAAGCCUGAUGCAGCCAUGCCGCGUGUAUGAAGAAGGCCUUCGGGUUGUAAAGUACUUUCAGUCGGGAGGAAGGUGGUAAGGUUAAUAACCUUAUCAAUUGACGUUACCGACAGAAGAAGCACCGGCUAACUCCGUGCCAGCAGCCGCGGUAAUACGGAGGGUGCAAGCGUUAAUCGGAAUUACUGGGCGUAAAGCGCACGCAGGCGGUUGAUUGAGUCAGAUGUGAAAUCCCCGGGCUUAACCCGGGAAUUGCAUCUGAUACUGGUCAGCUAGAGUCUUGUAGAGGGGGGUAGAAUUCCAUGUGUAGCGAUGAAAUGCGUAGAGAUGUGGAGGAAGACCGGUGGCGAAGGCGGCCCCCUGGACAAAGACUGACGCUCAGGUGCGAAAGCGUGGGGAGCAAACAGG